GCUGUCUCCAAUAACAAAGGAGAUAACUUCCCCACUGGGGAAAUAUUAACCCUUGGGUUCAUUUCCCUCUUCCUCCUCCCCAGGUAUACGACCGAGGGAUAUAUCCAGAUCUAGGAUAAGCAGCAAAGAGCACCAAAAUGUGCAGGGAAUGGAGGCAGCUUUGGGACCUGAAGGAGGGAUGCUUGGACACACAUGCGCGUCGUCCCUGCAAGCUCUUUCAGGACGGGUCUGAGCCAGGACUACAGAAAGCUUUGCAUUGGCGUUCCUGGGCUUUGAAAUGCAGGCGCUUGCUUCCAGUGGGACAUUAGUUAGAAGUCCCCAGCAGGACUGUACCUUUCCCCCCAUUAAAAAAAAAA